rnacentral:lncRNA from 1 species
UAUUCCCAUUUGUGGCAGCAGAGUGGGACACUGAUUUUAUGGGCUGACCAAUCCCGGGUAUGUACCCAAGAGAAAUGAAAACAUAUGCCCAUAAAAAAAAAACUUAUACAUGAAUGAUUAUAGCAGCUUUAUUCAUAAUAUCCAAAAACUAGAAACAACCCAAAUAUCCAUCAAAUAGUGGUAUAGUCACAAAAGGAAACACUGAAACAUAAAGGAAGCCAAUUACAAAAAAGCAGGUCAUUUGUCAUUUUCAUUUAUAUGAAAUUCUACCACAGGCAAAGCUAAUCUGUAGUGCCAAACAAUAGAUCAGUGGUUGCCUGAGGCCAAGAUGUGGAAGAUGGGAUUGACUGCAAAACUACAGAAGGAAUAUUUGGGGAGGCACGGAAGCGCAUCCGUGGAAAUCCAUCCCUUCCGACUUCCUUACACCUAUACAAAAGCCUGCAUUUGAUGCCCAGGACUCCAGAUCAGUACAUUCUGUGACAACUAAGGCACAGUGGAACAAGAAGGGCCCAACCACAUAAAGCUCCAGGAGAGUAGGAAUUAGUCUUGCUCUCAAGGACAUUCCUGGCACCCAGCAGAAUACCUAGCCUAGUAGGCAACAAAUGAAUACUGGAUGAAUAAAUCUAUGAAUCCAUCAAGAAGCAAGCUUGAGAAUGAGGCCAAAACACAGAGGAAGGCAAAAGAGCAAUGAAGCUGAGCAAAUACACCAGACUACCCAACUCUGAAACCCAUCCAACCUCUGGACUUCAUUGUUGUGAGUCAAUACAUUUACCUAACAUUUAAACCACUCAGAGUCAAAAUUUCUGUUACUUGUAGUUCAGAGUACCCUAACCUAUACAUCUAGCCUGGCCAUACACCUACUUGUCUGUCCUUGAGGAAGCUACUGAGCUUCACGUAUCUGUAAAAAUGGCCAAUAAGAAAGUCCUCCACAUCGUCCACUGCUAUCACCCCUCCAAUCUGUUAUUAUUUCUUGCUUUUUUUGACCACAACAGUCUCAUAAUUGGUCUUUUUGCUGCAGCCCUUGCCUCCACUGUCUACUCUCAAUAUACCAGUGGAGUACAGAAAUGAAAUGAAAUUUGGCUGUGGUUAUAUGACUAGAACAUGGCAGAACUGUAAUUUGAACAAAAUAGACAAGGUCUUUGCUGUCACGGAACUUCUAAAUGCCCUAUUUACUAUUCUGCUACCUCCCCAAGAAACUCUGCGGAAAAACCUGGAGGUAUCAAAGUAGGCUGUGUCUUAGCUGAUCUUCUGGAAAAGUUUUAGGAAAUCUAUUUCACCAGAAAGCAAUUAGCGAAGCCAAAUAUUUAUUUGGAUUUUCACCUUCAAAUCUGAGGUUACCCAGUAGAUUACCUGUACCACCAGGCACACUUUACCUUUGUGUGUUUAUUUAUAUAAAUCUAUUAAUAAAACUUACCUUUAAAUCUUUAUAUUAUAAUGUAACUAUUUAAAACAAAUAAUCUAAACUGCUGCUUUUCAAGCGUUAGCUCUGUUUUGGAAUGUUCCAAAGCAAUCUUCUGGAGAAUGAACCUUAAAGUUUAUUUUUUAAAAAUAGGCAAAAUA